GGAUAUAGCUCAGUUGAUAGAGUGCUUGCCUUGCAUGCACAAGGCCCGGGGUUCAAUCCCCAGCACCA
rnacentral:tRNA from 1 species